rnacentral:rRNA from 1 species
UACGUAGGGGGCUAGCGUUGUCCGGAUUUAUUGGGCGUAAAGAGCGUGUAGGCGGCCAGGUAGGUCUGGUGUGAAAACUCGAGGCUUAACCUUGAGAUGUCAUGGGAAACCAUUUGGCUAGAGUCCGGAAGAGGAAAGUGGAAUUCCUGGUGUAGCGGUGAAAUGCGCAGAUAUCAGGAAGAACACCAAUGGCGAAAGCAGCUUUCUGGGACGGUACUGACGCUGAGACGCGAAAGCGUGGGGAGCGAACAGG